CUUCACCCCUACCUCCCUCUGUCGCUCCCUCUCCCUCUCCCUCUCCCUCGCCCUCUCUCGUUCCCUCUCCCUCUCGACUGCAACCCUUGAGCGACGCACCCCCUUCACCCGAGCGAAAAUCCACCCCUACGGUCCCCGCCCUUCACCUCUUCUCCGUCUCUCCUCUCUGACCAGGGCUUUCGAUCUUCCUCUAUUCAAUUGAUCCAGUGUCGAUUGACAUUUACAGACAGUUGACUCAAAGAAUGUUGUUGCCUUGCCUGCUGAUCUAGUUGCUGAAGUUGUUGCUGUCUCUGGAGCUCCUGUAGUUGCUUGUGCAUGACUUGUUGUUGCCACAAUUGCAUAUCGUUUAAACCCAUCUGGUGGGUCAUUAAAAGUAGCCAACAAAUGUUUUAUUUUCUCCUCUUUAAUUCAAUUAUAUUUGCUGACCAAUUGAAAAGGAGUUUUGAGUCUCAGGGUUCAAGAUUGAAGAAUUCAA